rnacentral:RNase_P_RNA from 1 species
AGUGGUGUGCGUGCGGCUUACGGUCUAUAUGACUGAGGAAGCUCUCUCCACGCAAAGCGUGCAUGGCGGAAACGCCUGAUUCGGAACAGAAACGAGACCGCUGCGGCGCAUAAGCGAUGACAUUACGAGCGCGCCGGUGCGGAUGAAACGGCCGAUGCGCAUGCGAUGUGCGUGCAAGCCCAUAAAGGGCGCUUAGUCGAAUGCCGCUUAAAACAGAAGAGAGGCUACGGCACACCACU